rnacentral:rRNA from 1 species
UACGAAGGGGGCUAGCGUUGCUCGGAAUCACUGGGCGUAAAGCGCACGUAGGCGGAUUCCUAAGUCGGUGGUGAAAUCCUGGAGCUCAACUCCAGAACUGCCUUCGAUACUGACGAGCUUGAGUCGGGAGAGGUGAGUGGAACUGCGAAGUGUAGAGGUGAAAUUCGUAGAUAUUCGCAAGAACACCAGUGGCGAAGGCGGCUCACUGGCCCGAUACUGACGCUGAGGUGCGAAAAGCGUGGGGAGCAAACAGG